GAACUGCGAUAAGUAAUGUGAAUUGCAGAAUUCAGUGAAUCAUCGAGUCUUUGAACGCACAUUGCGCCCCCUGGCAUUCCGGGGGGCAUGCCUGUCCGAGCGUCAUUGCUGCCCUUCAAGCCCGGCUUGUGUGUUGGGUCGUCGUCCCCUCCGGGGGACGGGCCCGAAAGGCAGCGACGGCACCGCGUCCGGUCCUCGAGCGUAUGGGGCUUUGUCACCCGCUCGGUAAGGACCGGCCGGGCGCCAGCCGGCGUCUCCAACCUUUUUUUCUCAGGUUGACCUCGGAUCAGGUAGGGAUACCCGCUGAACUUAAGC
rnacentral:misc_RNA from 1 species